rnacentral:rRNA from 1 species
GUCGAACGCUGGCGGCGUGCUUAACACAUGCAAGUCGAACGAAGUGGCGAACGGGUGAGUAACGCGUAAUCAACCUGCCCUUCAGAGGGGGACAACAGUUGGAAACGACUGCUAAUACCGCAUACUGAUGGAGGGGUUUGUGUCGGAUUAGCUCGUUGGAGGGGUAACGGCCCACCAAGGCGAUGAUCAGUAGCCGGUCCGAGAGGAUUGACGGCCACAAUGGGACUGGAGCACGGCCCAGCAUCCUACGGGGAGCAGCAGUGGGGAAACUUCCGCAAUGGACGGAAGGCUGACGGAGCAACGCCGCGUGAGUGAAGACGGCCUUCGGGUUGUAAAGCUCUGUUAAUCGGGACGCGGUACCGGAAUAGAAAGCCACGGCUAACUACGUGCCAGCAGCCGCGGUAAUUC